rnacentral:lncRNA from 1 species
GAAGUGAGUGCAAGAGGAGCCGGCUUAGCAUCUAAACUGAUUCUACCAUCAGAAAAGAGGCCAAACUUCUAUCAUCAUGGUGGAUGUGAAGUGUCUGAGUGACUGUAAAUUGCAGAACCAACUUGAGAAGCUUGGAUUUUCACCUGGCCCAAUACUACGUGGGCUGCAAGAGCACCAAGCACCAGAAUCACAUAUGGGACUAUCACCAAAGAGAGAGACUACUGCGCGGAAGACCAGACUAUCGAGAGCUGGAGAGAAGAAGGUUUCCCAGUGGGCUUGAAGCUUGCUGUGCUUGGUAUUUUCAUCAUUGUGGUGUUUGUCUACCUGACUGUGGAAAAUAAGUCGCUGUUUGGUUAAGUAAUUUAGGAGCAAAGCAAUGCUCCAAGCGAGGCCUCCUGCUUCAGGAAAGAACCAAAACACUACCCUGAAGGGCCAGCCUAGCCUGCAGCCCUCCCUUGCAGGGAGCCUUCCCUUGCACUGUGCUGCUCUCACAGAUCGGUGUCUGGGCUCAGCCAGGUGGAAGGAACCUGCCUAACCAGGCACCUGUGUUAAGAGCAUGAUGGUUAGGAAAUCCCCCAAGUCAUGUCAACUCUCAUUAAAGGUGCUUCCAUAUUUGAGCAGGCGUCAAACAAGGAAA